rnacentral:tRNA from 1 species
GUAUAUACCAAUAUGGCAAAUUCCCGAACACGAUACGCUUCGACUGAAAAUCCGCGUGUCGGUAGUUCAAUUCUACCCCUGGGCACCA